rnacentral:rRNA from 1 species
CCUACGGGAGGCAGCAGUGGGGAAUAUUGCACAAUGGGGGAAACCCUGAUGCAGCGACGCCGCGUGAGUGAAGAAGUAUUUCGGUAUGUAAAGCUCUAUCAGCAGGGAAGAAGAAAGACGGUACCUGACUAAGAAGCCCCGGCUAACUACGUGCCAGCAGCCGCGGUAAUACGUAGGGGGCAAGCGUUAUCCGGAUUUACUGGGUGGAAAGGGAGCGUAGACGGCGAUGCAAGUCUGAAGUGAAAGGCGGGGGCCCAACCUCCGGACUGCUUUGGAAACUGUAUGGCUGGAGUGCAGGAGAGGUAAGUGGAAUUCCUAGUGUAGCGGUGAAAUGCGUAGAUAUUAGGAGGAACACCAGUGGCGAAGGCGGCUUACUGGACUGUAACUGACGUUGAGGCUCGAAAGCGUGGGGAGCAAACAGGAUUAGAUACCCCUGUAGUC